UACGUAGGGUGCGAGCGUUGUCCGGAAUUACUGGGCGUAAAGAGCUCGUAGGUGGUUUGUCGCGUUGUUCGUGAAACGCCACAGCUUAACUGUGGGCGUGCGGGCGAUACGGGCAGACUGGAGUACUGCAGGGGAGACUGGAAUUCCUGGUGUAGCGGUGGAAUGCGCAGAUAUCAGGAGGAACACCGGUGGCGAAGGCGGGUCUCUGGGCAGUAACUGACGCUGAGGAGCGAAAGCGUGGGGAGCGAACAGG
rnacentral:rRNA from 1 species